AUUUACGGGGUUUGCUUAACCCCUGGUCUGCCCACUUGUCCUGUACAACAAACGAUUGAAAUAUCCAAGUAGCUCAAAAUAAUACCUUUUUUAAUUCUGCUUAUAUCGUGGUAUUCAAGUAAACUGAUGCACCAAUCUUGAAGGAGGUCCCAAUAAAAUGUAAAUAUACCAUUGCAACGUGGUUAAAAAAGGAUUUAGCUUCCUACUUCAGUUGAAGU
rnacentral:lncRNA from 1 species